GACGAACCGUGCAAACGUUAUUCGGAAUCACUGGGCAUAAAGGGCGCGUAGGCGGCUUUCUAAGUCAGGGGUGAAAUCCGGCAGCUCAACUGUCGCAGUCGCCUUUGAUACUGGAGAGCUCGAGGGAGGUAGGGGGUCUGUGGAACUUCCGGUGGAGCGGUGAAAUGCGUUGAUAUCGGAAGGAACGCCGGUGGCGAAAGCGACGGACUGGAUCUCUUCUGACGCUGAGGCGCGAAAGCCAGGGGGAGCAAACGGGG
rnacentral:rRNA from 1 species